UUCUCGGGGCUUCCGGAGAGUCCGUUAACGGCUGCCUCUCUAACAGGCCCUGAGGACCUUGAACUUCAGUCAGAGCUGCUAGUGUGGCUUUGCCUCACCGCUAACGGUUCUAACGCCAUAGCGGGUCUGCUGGACAUUCACUUGCCUGGAAACUUCUAAAGUUUUUUUGAAGUAUCCAUCUGAGGUUUAUUUUCUCUGGGAAUAUAGUUCAUUUUGAAAAUCGUCAAAGAAACGAGGAAAAAUAACAGCAGAGGUCGGCUGAGGUAUGCAAGGUGAUUUUUCCUUAGAGAGCUCAAAGGCCGGAAGGCUUCAGUGAGAGGCUCUGUCUUGAGGCAGAAGAGGACAAAGAAGGUUUGAACCCGCAACCCUUGAGUCUCCUAACAGGGACUUUUUUUUUCUAUUUUUUUUUUGAUAGUCUGAUUUAUUAUUUUCAACUUUUCUUGAGGACUGCAGACACCACGAGGAGGUGCUGCUGUUGCAAGCAAUCACAGGACUCUGGAAUUAGACUCCUGAGAUCGCCGCUAGAACGGGCAGUGCUGAGAGUCCUCCAGCCAUAAAAGUGUCCUCUGUGACUCUAACCAAGCUGUGCGCCCUUCCCUUUAUCCUGCGUGGUUUCCUGGACAUUUGUCGAUAUUCUGGAGCUAAUCGGUCUCCCUCCAUAAAAACACAGAAAUAAACCCACAAAGCCUAAUUGCAGAAGAGAAUGCAGGGCCAUUUUAUUUUUAAGGAAAUGCUUGACUUUCUGGAAACCUACAGAACUGGGGAGGAAAACCCUGUUCUCCUGUAAUAAGAGCGAGGGGGCAGGCUGGAAACGCGCCUCCUCGAUUCUUCCUUCCUCUCUGUGUCCCAGGGAGGAGGUGUAACCGCUCUGAGGCCCCGCCCUGUGGCUUUAACCUGCAGCGCCAUUGUUGGGGCCCCAGUCACCUUCCUGACCUUUUAGGCUUCUACUACUGUCCCGUGUUUCAGAGACCUGGAGGCAAGUCAGCUGGGCAGUGAACCCAGACUGAUGGCACCCCGUCGUCUGCCCUCUCAUCUUCGCUUUUGGACCAGGACUAACCCGGAGAGGAAUGUGAGGGCGCUGCCUUGGGUCCCAGGAUAGAGGCAGAACUCCCCCACCCACCUGCGUGCUCGGGCCCACACUUAGUCACCAGAUCACCUGUGAGGAUCUACAACGCCACCAGAUUCCUGCUGUCUUCCCAGCUAGAUACCCAAACUCAAACUGAAACUUCUUGAGUGAGCUAAGGCGGCACUGCUACUGACUACAACCGAAGGCUUGGAGGAAAGGGCAGGAAAAGUGUGUAGUCUGGAAUGAAGCACAGUUGGAGAGCCCACCGUUGCAGCUCCUAUGGCACUGCCAUGAAAACAAGAAAGCCAAAGCACAGAUCUUGCGGUCCUCAGGCUCCCAGGCAGGAGAGGCAUCCUGACUGCUGGGACCCCAACUCCCUUUGACUUAUAUUUGGAUGCUGUGCGGCGGCCUCCUUGCAGAAUCUUCAUCGCUCUUCAGACUCUUAUCUUCUGUGCUUUCGUCACCCAUAUCAACACACAGAACUGCUUCCCCAGACUCACAGAAAGCCAACCUCAUCUGUCCUCUGGCUUAUGACUCUCCUGAGAGCUUCCAUGGUGAAGCCCUGUACUUCAUACCUUCCCAACCGUCCUUCCCAUCAGAAGCGUAGAAUCUGGACUCUCUAGCCUAAAGCCAAUGAGCUAUUUUCUCAAGUCAGCAAAUGGUCACAGAAUGCUUCCGACACUCUCCGCAUGGUGGAAGAUGUCUUAUCUCUAAAGUUCAAGGGGCAGGGGACGCUCUGUCAUGCCAUUUAUUUUUAAAGAUAUGUGCAUCCACGUGGGGAGGGUACCCAUGUGGAAGCAGUUGCGCACAUCCGUGCAUAGGCAGAGAGGCUAGAAGAGGGUGCUGGGUGCACACCACCACCACUCUCUGGCUGUUCCUCUAGGGCAGAGCAAGUCACAGCGAUCCUCCUGUCUCUAGCACACUCAGAGUGGGGUUUCAGAGCUGCAGGGGUACAGAUGCUGAAAUAAAAAAAAAAUCUAGUCCUUGUGACUGGCAUCGAGUGUUCUUAGCUACCAAGGCAUCUCUCCAGCCCCAUUUUUUUUCCCCAUUUGGAGACGGGUUUAUGUCUAGCCUCAGACCAGCUGAGGAUGAGCUCCCCUGUCUUCUCCUUCCAAGUGCUCAGGUGAUAGGUUUGUGUCACCACACCCAGUUUAUACAGUGCUGGGUACUGACCCAAGGGCUCUGUGCACGUUACUUAGGAAAGGGCAGGAAACCUGGCCCUGUGGUUUACACUAGCUUUGUGGGCCUUGCCCAGAGAGCCAGAUACCAAGUAGUAGAAGUUGCUUACUCAACCCUAACCAACCAAUGAAAUAAUAUACUUUGGGAAUAACCUA